rnacentral:lncRNA from 1 species
GGCAAUUAGGCAGAUCAAUUGACAGAAUCUAAAAUUGCCUGAGAAGGGGAGGACUGAAGCAUGAGUUGGAGGAGAUUGGAGGUGGACUUGAUGGUCUGAGAGAUUUGUUCAGCCACAAUUGCUUUUGCCUGUCCCUUCUCUGCUACGACCUACUGUUGCUGAACCCGAAAUUCCUGCCAUUUACCCUUUUGAUUGAACCGGACUGAUCUGGC